UACGUAGCAGCGAGCGUUGUUCGGAGUUACUGGGCGUAAAGAGUGCGUAGGCGGUUUUCUAAGUUUGGUGUGAAAUCUCCCGGCUUAACUGGGAGGGUGCGCCGAAGACUGGAAGGCUUGAGUAUGGGAGAGGUAAGCGGAAUUCCUGGUGUAGCGGUGAAAUGCGUAGAUAUACAGGAGGAACACCUGCGGUGUAGACGGCUUACUGGACCAUCACUGACGCUGAGGCACGAAAGCGUGGGUAGCAAACAGG
rnacentral:rRNA from 1 species